rnacentral:rRNA from 1 species
AGAGCGAACGCUGGCGGCAGGCUUAACACAUGCAAGUCGAGCGGGCGUAGCAAUACGUCAGCGGCAGACGGGUGAGUAACGCGUGGGAACGUACCUUUGGUUCGGAACAACACAGGGAAACUUGUGCUAAUACCGGAUAAGCCCUUACGGGGAAAGAUUUAUCGCCGAAAGAUCGGCCCGCGUCUGAUUAGCUAGUUGGUGAGGUAACGGCUCACCAAGGCGACGAUCAGUAGCUGGUCUGAGAGGAUGAUCAGCCACAUUGGGACUGAGACACGGCCCAAACUCCUACGGGAGGCGAGCAGUGGGGAAUAUUGGACAAUGGGCGCAAGCCUGAUCCAGCCAUGCCGCGUGAGUGAUGAAGGCCCUAGGGUUGUAAAGCUCUUUUGUGCGGGAAGAUAAUGACGGUACCGCAAGAAUAAGCCCCGGCUAACUUCGCGCCAGCAGCCGC